rnacentral:tRNA from 1 species
AAGAGUCUAGUACAAAUCAUUACGUAAUCUUGUCAAGAUUAAAUUACAACACCAGUUGUGACCCUUA